AAACGUUUACAGAGCAUCCGCGAGAACUUCCUUCUAAGCUAAAUAUGUCAUCUAGCACCUGAAAAAAUUUAAGUCUGGUUCUUUCUGGAUAAAAGAAAGCGCACAGGAUUUAAGUGAGUAAAUACUUAAGUGAGUAAAUUCUUAGAAAAAACAAAACCUAACCGCCACAAUUGGACUUUGGAACUUUUUUCCCCCCUUAGCAGCAGGCUGAAAUUUUCAGUUCCUCGGUCACUGAUCAGGGAAUUCUGCGCUUCAGGCUGUGUACACCCGCAAGUCUGGAAGGGUGAUGAUGAUGAUGUGAUGAUGAGUUAGGGCAAUUAUAACUACGGCAAAAAAAAAAAAAAAAAAAAAAGAGUUCGCAGGGACGCAGCGCUGCCGCCGCCGCCGCCGAGGCCGCGACCACGGCCCGAGCCGGCCACCGCGCGUCAAAGGAGCCAUUCAAGGCCCGGCGAGGCCCGGGGGUUGAGAAGUUAAGGAGCGGGAGGUGGUGCGCCGGGGCCGCGGCCGCGCCAUUUGCAUUUCAAUGCGACCCGCUUGUUGACUCAGUGCCCGGCGCUUCCGCAGCUCCCACCAGAAUCUGCCUUUGUUGGUUUUAGCUCCGGUCAAGUCCACUUCUUGCAUCGGGGGAGCCGCGCGCAUUGAGUUUGUGUAGUCAGGCAGAACGCUCGACAGGAAGGAAGGAGGAAGGGGCGCUCUGCGCGGCCAUUGUCUGGGCAACCGGGCUUAAGCAGCCGAGUGACUAUUUAAUCUAUAAGGUGCACUUGAAUCCCUCGCAAAUCCUCUCAGUGUGGAGCGGAGGCACCCAGACAGGGACAGAUGGUGCAGAACCCCUUUGUUUAAGAAUAUGGAAAUACGCUUUUUCCUUUACUUAAGGUGGUCCGCUCUUUUAACUGUUGCUAUUCCCCCUUGCUGCAUUGUCAAGGAGAGGGCAUGAGAGACUCAUGGGUCUGGUCAGCCCUGCCGAAGCGCCUCCGUAUUAAGAAAAAGUAAUUGCUGGAAGGGAGUCGCCUCUUUUGGUGAGCCAUGAGUACAGUGGAGACCCCACGUACCCUUUUGGUGCCCUUUGCACUUAGGCAGAGAGUAGCCGAAAGAAGUGUGUUCAGAAUUCUUGCAAGAUUGUUUUUCAUGGGCUCCCUCUCUUUCCUUUUUUCACAUUAAACAUCAAGUUCGGAGGUCUCGGGUUGCUUCCCGUGCAACUACGGGAAAAGGGAGACGUCUUGUCCUCAGGGGGCCCUGCUGCUUCGCAUUGACCUCUUGGGCUUGUAAGCAGAGAGGUUGAUGGGCAGGAUGGCCACUGCAGCUGGGCCGCACCUGUGCUUCUGUGUCCACAGCUGUAAUUUAGAGUGUGUUCAACAUCAGGCUGGGGAAAGGUACACAUAGGUUUGGGGUAUUGUAGAAAAGUGGAAGACUGCCCAUAGAGCCCUGGAGCAUGGUGACAUUUCACAAGAUAGCUUUUCUGAUCUUCCUAACGACAUGGAGGACUCCACUUGCAGCGGGACUGGGGAUACACUAGGACCAUCAGAUCCCACCCCCAGUCAGUCUGAAAUGAAUUCAACCAACCGUCCACACAUAUAAGUCUCAGUUUUUGUUUAAAACAUGCAGUCAGGCGAGGCGCAGUGGCUCACGCCUGUAAUCCCAGCACUUUCGGAGGCCCAGGCGGGCGGAUCACUUGAGGUCAGGAGUUUGAGACCAGCCUCGCCAAGACGGUGAAACCCUGUCUCUACUAAAAAAUACAAAAAUUAGCCGGGCUUGGAUCCCAGUUACUCAGGAGGCUGAGAUGGGAGAAUCGUUUGAACCCAGAAGGCGGAGGUUGCAGUGAGCCCAAAUCGUGCCACUGCACUCUAGCUUGGGCGACAGAGUGAGCUGUCUCAAAAAAAACAAUAAAAAAAAAUACAGUCAUGGUCCUGCUGGGCUGUUCUAGCCAUAGUAAUACAAAACAAAGGAAAAAUCUGAAGGGACAGCUGUCAGGUAAAAAUCAAAUUCGUUUCCAUUUUCAGUACAUAUUAAACAGGAAGCAGGUAAUUGUCUUGUGGUUUUGAAGGUAAAAUAAAGAGGACACAUUAUAAAAUAGAUGUUGAAGUAUUUUAAUCUAGGUGUUUCAGUGUCGGGCAUGUUAAUACAUUUCUGUAAAGAGGUAGAUGUCUGUUUGGUCUCUAAUGCAAACACUUGACUAUGUGAAAUGCUCACAUCCAUUUUUUAUUUUUCUUAAAAGGCACUUUCUCUUCCCAACCACGUGGCUGCAGACUUCUUGCUCUCAAGUUGUCCUGACAUGCUCUGAGAGCACACACAACAUACAUACAACACCUGGAUCUGUGAAUUAAUUACUGCCUAGGCUACCACCAAGAAGCUUUCCAAGUGGCCAAGUGCAAGGAUCUUCUGUUUCUUAUCCAAGUACAUUCUUUCAUCACGGCCUUGGUCCAAGAAUUGACCCUUAACUAUGAAUUCCUGCUUCAUUUCCAUUUCACUCAGCCAUUUUAGAGCAGGAAAAAGCCAGAAGCAGGUGUCAGCCAGCAGGUGUGGCUCAUAAUUCAUAUUUUUCACAGAAGCAUCAUUUGGAGGGGAAAAAAUCUGUCUAAGCUGGUUUCAAAGUUAACUUAUUAGUAUAAAUUUUUUAAAAAAGAUAGGCCAGCCUGGGCAACAAAGUGAGACCCCUGUCUCUACAGGAAAAAAAAAAAAUUAGCUGGGUGUGGUGUUGCACACCUGUUGGCCCAACUACUCAGGAGGCUGAAGUGGGAGGAUCACUAGAGCCCAGGAGGUUGAGGCUACAGUGAGCUGUGAUCAGGCCACCGCACUCCAGCCUGGGCAACAGAGUAAGUCCCC
rnacentral:lncRNA from 1 species